UACAGAAAUAAACGGAUUAUUUCUUAUUUCACUUUUUCAACAGCAUAUUUAUCGUAAUCUUCAUACAAUUUCAAAUAAAUCCUUGUAUUAUUAGUCAUAUUAAAAUAUAUUUUUGAAUAAACAUCAAAUAUAAUUUUUGUGGUUUCACACUCUUUCACUUUAGUAUCAUGUGGUUUAAAGUGUAUCAAUUAAUUAGUGCUCAAGAUUUAAACUGAUCGUCCCUAGCGCAAGUGGCAAAGGGCUUUGUGGUUGGUACCCGGGUUCCAAGUUCGAAUCCUAGUUGAUUCACAUUUCUAACUAAGUUUAUUUCUAAAUGAAAAUAAAUAAAGCGGGUAGCAUGCUAUCUAUCUCUAAAAAAAAAAGUUAGUUCCGUGUGAUUUUAUUUUUAUUUUAGAUUUAUUAAAUAUUUACUUCAAUAUCGUUUAGUUUAAUUUUAUCAUUAAUUUAAUGAAAAAAUUAAUAGAAUUGAUAAUAAAAAAAAUGAAACCAUAUAGUAAUAAGUUGAUACACUUUAAAUUAUAGGAUAGUAAAAUCGAAAAAUACGAAACUACUAGGUGGUAUUCGAAAUUUUUUCUAUAUUUUUUUCUAGUCGACAAAAAAUGGAGACUUAUACUCUCUUAUAAUUUCAUCCUAAUUUUUUUUUAUUUAAUAAUAUUAGACCACCCUCAAUACGAAACAGUCCAAAGUGGGGUAAUGUACAUAAAUUUGACGUGUACGACACAUUAAUUUGUUUGCUUUUAAUGACUUACGAGUAGCACUACAACAGAAUUAGGUUAUANUAAAAAAAAUCAUAAAGAAAAAUAAUAAUAUUUUGAUAUUUUAUAUGGAUAUCAAAUAGUCACAAAACAUUUAAAAAUACGUAAUUAUAGUUAUAUAUAUCACAUGUAAAUAGCUAGCCAAGUCAUCCAAUUAUUUGUCUUACCGUGGCAAUUAUUAUUUACAGAAAUAAACGGAUUAUUUCUUAUUUCACUUUUUCAACAGCAUAUAACGUAAUCUCCAUGCAAUUUCAAAUAAAUCAUUGAAUUAUUAGUCAUAUUAAAAUAUAUUUUUGAAUAAACAUCAAAUAUAUUUUUUAUGGUUUCACACUUUUUCACUUUAAUAUCAUGUGGUUUAAAGUGUAUCAAGUUAAUUAGUACCCAAGAUUUAAACUGACCGUCCUUAGCGAAAGUGGCAAAGGCCUUUGUGGUUGAUACCCAGAUUCCAAGUUCGAAUUCUAGUUGCUUCACAUUUCUAGUUAAGUUUAUUUCUUAAUAAAAAUAAACAAAGCGGAUAGUAUGCUAUCUAUCUCUCAAAAAAAACGUUAGUUCCCUGUGGUUUAUUUUUAUUUUAGAUUUAUCAAAUAUUUACUUCAGUACCGUUUAGUUUUAAUUUUAUCUUUGAUUUAACGAAAAAAUUUAAUAGAAUUGAUAAUAAAAAAAUUGAAACCAUAUAGUAAUAAAUUGAUAUACUUUAAAUUAUAGAAUAGUAAAAUAAAAAAAAUACGAAACUAUUAG
rnacentral:lncRNA from 1 species